UUUUCUCAUGAGUGAGUGACCUUUGCUCUGUGGUGUUUCUGAUUUAGCAGCUGCCCCAGUGCCCUGCAGAGAAAGCAGUGGCUGAUGUGCAGUGAGCGCGGAGCAUGGGCACAGCGGGUCAUCGUGGGACAAUGUGGCUGCUUCCCGUUGUCCUCCUUUUCCUUCAGAUGAGGCAGACAGGUUGGACCCUGAGAUCCUCUCUACAGAGUAAUUUUAUGAAUCAUAUUGCGGACAUGAUGCAUGCCUUAUGCUUUAAUUUUGCUGUUGUCUGUGACUGGAGACAACUGAACAAACACC
rnacentral:lncRNA from 12 species